rnacentral:rRNA from 1 species
ACGGGAGGCAGCAGUGGGGAAUAUUGCACAAUGGGCGGAAGCCUGAUGCAGCAACGCCGCGUGAGGGAUGACGGCCUUCGGGUUGUAAACCUCUUUUAGCAGGGAAGAAGCGAAAGUGACGGUACCUGCAGAAAAAGCGCCGGCUAACUACGUGCCAGCAGCCGCGGUAAUACGUAGGGCGCAAGCGUUAUCCGGAAUUAUUGGGCGUAAAGAGCUCGUAGGCGGUUUGUCGCGUCUGCUGUGAAAUCCCGAGGCUCAACCUCGGGCCUGCAGUGGGUACGGGCAGACUAGAGUGCGGUAGGGGAGAUUGGAAUUCCUGGUGUAGCGGUGGAAUGCGCAGAUAUCAGGAGGAACACCGAUGGCGAAGGCAGAUCUCUGGGCCGUAACUGACGCUGAGGAGCGAAAGGGUGGGGAGCAAACAGGCUUAGAUACCCUGGUAGUCCACCCCGUAAACGUUGGGAACUAGUUGUGGGGUCCAUUCCACGGAUUCCGUGACGCAGCUAACGCAUUAAGUUCCCCGCCUGGGGAGUACGGCCGCAAGGCUAAAACUCAAAGGAAUUGACGGGGACCCGCACAAGCGGCGGAGCAUGCGGAUUAAUUCGAUGCAACGCGAAGAACCUUACCAAGGCUUGACAUAUACGAGAACGGGCCAGAAAUGGUCAACUCUU